AAUCUUACCCGUACGGUUGCCUCGGCGCUGGCGGUCCGGAAGGCCCUCGGGCCCCCGGAUCCUCGGGUCUCCCGCUCGCGGGAGGCUGCCCGCCGGAGUGCCGAAACCAAACUCUUGAUAUUUUAUGUCUCUCUGAGUAAACUUUUAAAUAAGUCAAAACUUUCAACAACGGAUCUCUUGGUUCUGGCAUCGAUGAAGAACGCAGCGAAAUGCGAUAAGUAAUGUGAAUUGCAGAAUUCAGUGAAUCAUCGAAUCUUUGAACGCACAUUGCGCUCGCCAGUAUUCUGGCGAGCAUGCCUGUUCGAGCGUCAUUUCAACCAUCAAGCUCUGCUUGCGUUGGGGAUCCGCGUCUGACGCGGUCCCUCAAAAACAGUGGCGGGCUCGCUAGUCACACCGAGCGUAGUAACUCUACAUCGCUAUGGUCGUGCGGCGGGUUCUUGCCGUAAAACCCCCAAUUUCUAAGGUUGACCUCGGAUCAGGUAGGAAUACCCGCUGAACUUAAGCAUAUCAAUAAGC
rnacentral:rRNA from 1 species